UACAGAGGGUGCAAGCGUUGUUCGGAAUUAUUGGGCGUAAAGGGCGCGUAGGCGGUGCGGUAAGUCUGCAGUGAAAUCUCUGGGCUCAACUCAGAGUCUGCUGUGGAAAACUGCCGUGCUUGAGUGUGGGAGAGGUGAGUGGAAAUUCCCCGGUGUAGCGGUGAAAAUGCGCAGAUAUCAGGAGGAAACACCGAUGGCGAAGGCAGCUCGCUGGGGACGGUACUGAGCUGAGGCGCGAAAAGCGUGGGGGGAGCAAAACAGG
rnacentral:rRNA from 1 species